UACGUAGGGGGCAAGCGUUGUCCGGAAUCAUUGGGCGUAAAGAGCGUGUAGGCGGCCCGGUAAGUCCGCUGUGAAAGUCCAGGGCUCAACCCUGGGAUGCCGGUGGAUACUGUCGGGCUCGAGUCCGGUAGAGGAGUGUGGAAUUCCUGGUGUAGCGGUGAAAUGCGCAGAUAUCAGGAGGAACACCAAUGGCGAAGGCAGCACUCUGGGACGUGACUGACGCUGAGACGCGAAAGCGUGGGGAGCAAACAGG
rnacentral:rRNA from 1 species